GGAGAGGUGCAGGAGCGGUUGAACUGGCCACCCUGGAAAGGUGGUAUACCGGCAACGGUAUCGUGGGUUCGAAUCCCACCUUCUCCG
rnacentral:tRNA from 1 species